UGGGGAAUUGUUCGCAAUGGGCGCAAGCCUGACGACGCAACGCCGCGUGGAGGAUGAAGAUCUUCGGGUCGUAAACUCCUGUCGAGCGGGACGAAUGCCUUGCCGGUGAAUAUCCGGCGAGGGUGACGGUACCGCUAAAGGAAGCCCCGGCUAACUCCGUGCCAGCAGCCGCGGUAAUACGGGGGGGGCAAGCGUUGUUCGGAAUUACUGGGCGUAAAGGGCGCGUAGGUGGCUGUGUAAGUCGGGGGUGAAAUGCUGCGGCUCAACCGCAGCGCUGCCUCCAAGACUGCACGGCUUGAGCACGGUAGAGGCCGAUGGAAUUCCCGGUGUAGCGGUGGAAUGCGUAGAGAUCGGGAAGAACACCGAUGGCGAAGGCAGUCGGCUGGGCCGUUGCUGACACUGAGGCGCGACAGCGUGGGGAGCAAA
rnacentral:rRNA from 1 species